UACGUAGGGUGCAAGCGUUGUCCGGAAUUAUUGGGCGUAAAGAGCUCGUAGGCGGUUCGUCGCGUCGGCUGCGAAAUCCCGGAGCUCAACUCCGGGUCUGCAGUCGAUACGGGCGGACUUGAGUACUGCAGGGGAGACUGGAAUUCCUGGUGUAGCGGUGAAAUGCGCAGAUAUCAGGAGGAACACCGGUGGCGAAGGCGGGUCUCUGGGCCGAUACUGACGCUGAGGAGCGAAAGCGUGGGGAGCGAACAGG
rnacentral:rRNA from 1 species